CCUACGGGAGGCAGCAGUGGGGGAUAUUGGACAAUGGGGGAAACCCUGAUCCAGCGACGCCGCGUGAGUGAAGAAGUAUUUCGGUAUGUAAAGCUCUAUCAGCAGGGAAGAAAGAAAUGACGGUACCUGAGUAAGAAGCCCCGGCUAACUACGUGCCAGCAGCCGCGGGAAUACGUAGGGGGCAAGCGUUAUCCGGAAUUACUGGGUGUAAAGGGAGCGUAGACGGUAAUGCAAGUCUGGAGUGAAAGGCGGGGGCCCAACCCCCGGACUGCUCUGGAAACUGUGUAACUGGAGUGCAGGAGAGGCAGGCGGAAUUCCUAGUGUAGCGGUGAAAUGCGUAGAUAUUAGGAGGAACACCAGUGGCGAAGGCGGCCUGCUGGACUGUAACUGACGUUGAGGCUCGAAAGCGUGGGGAGCAAACAGGAUUAGAUACCCCAGUAGUC
rnacentral:rRNA from 1 species